rnacentral:lncRNA from 1 species
AUUUAGAGUUUAUAUUUGAGUUUAGGGUUUAGUAAUUAGUGAUUAGGGUUAAGUAUUUAGAGUAAUAGGAGUGAGUUUGAGGCCAGUAUUAGAUUUUGAAAUUUGGGUUUAGAGUUUAGGGUUUAUGGUUUAUAUUUGGGUUUAGGGUUUAGUGAUUAGGAUUUAGGGUUUAGUAUUUAGAAGGGCAGAGUUGGUAUUUGGGUUUAGUGAACAUGUAUCGUUUCAUUUUACAAUUAAUAAAGAGUGUUCUAUUUUGUUCACCAAUAUAUACUAUACUAUUUAUUUUAUUUCAUUCUAUUUGGGUUUAGGGGCUAUAUUUGGGUUUAGGGUUUAGUGAUUAGAGUUUAAAGUUUAGUAUUUGGAAGGUGCGUGGUUAAGGCUUGGGUUUAGUGAUAGCAGUUUAAGAUUUAAUAUUCAAAAUGUGCCUUCAAGUGUCCAAUAUUGAAAUUUUUUUUAUAGAUUGUAUUUGGGUUUAUAGGUUCUUGCCUAGGGUUUAGAUUUACUAAGUAGAGGUUUGAGUAUAGUAAACCAUAUUAUAUAUAUACUAUUUGGGUUUAUCCUUCCUUAAUUAGGGUUUAGAUUUAAUAGUUAAUGGUGUGUCUUGUAUUGCUGUAUUUUUCGGGUGAAGAGAAUUUACUAUUUGCAUUUCAUACU